GUGCCGUUUUAAGGCUGGACGGGCCUGCCUUGAGAAGGCCUAACACAGAAGGGUAAAGGAAAGUCUCCAUAAAACCGGGAAGAAGAUUGGUAAAACUCCUCUUUGGAUCCUGUCUGGAGUCACAGCU
rnacentral:snoRNA from 1 species